AUUGAACGCUGGCGGAAUGCUUUACACAUGCAAGUCGAACGGCAGCACGGGGCAACCUGGUGGCGAGUGGCGAACGGGUGAGUAAUACAUCGGAACGUGCCCAAUCGUGGGGGAUAACGUAGCGAAAGUUACGCUAAUACCGCAUACGAUCUACGGAUGAAAGCGGGGGAUCGCAAGACCUCGCGCGAAUGGAGCGGCCGAUGUCAGAUUAGGUAGUUGGUGGGGUAAAGGCUCACCAAGCCAACGAUCUGUAGCUGGUCUGAGAGGACGACCAGCCACACUGGAACUGAGACACGGUCCAGACUCCUACGGGAGGCAGCAGUGGGGAAUUUUGGACAAUGGGCGAAAGCCUGAUCCAGCCAUUCCGCGUGCAGGAUGAAGGCCCUCGGGUUGUAAACUGCUUUGUCAGGGAAGAAAUCCCUUGGGAUAAUACCUCGGGGGAUGACGGUGCCUGAAGAAUAAGCACCGGCUAACUACGUAGCCAGCAGCCGCGGUAAU
rnacentral:rRNA from 1 species